AGGUCAACAUCAGGUAUGGAGAUCUUGGGAGCUUUGAUAUUUAUUUCAGGCAUCUUGAACUUGGGGCCCUUCAGUUUUGCGUCUGGACCUUCGAUAUUCACAUCUGGAAUAUCAACGUCCACCUUGGGUCCCGAGACAUCGAUGUCGGCCUUGGGCAGGCUCACAUCCACAUCUGGACCUUCUCCUUUGAAGCCAGGCAUGCUGAAUUUGGGCAUUUUCACCUUGGGCAUCUUCAGGUGCCAGUCUGGGCCUUGAACGUCCACAUCUGGGACAUCAAUGUCCACUUUGGGGUCCCUGAUGUCAACUUCGGGGCCCUUGAGGUCGCCUUCCACUUUGGGCAGAGAAAUGUCCAUGUCGCCCUUCACCUUUGGACCUUUCAGAUUCAGGUCAACUUCAGGCAUAGAGAUCUUCGGUGCCUUGAGGUGCAGGUCAGGCAUUUUAAAUUUGGGGCCCUUCAGUUUCCCUUCUGGACCAUGAAUAUCAAUAUCAGGAGUGUCAAUGUCCACUUUGGGUCCUGAGACAUCAAUGUCAGCUUUGGGCAAAUUAACAUCCACUUCUGGGCCCUCUCCUUUAAAUCCUGGCAUGCUGAAUUUGGGCAUUUUCACCUUGGGCAUCUUCAGGUGCCAGUCUGGGCCAUGAACAUCCACAUCUGGGGCAUCAAUGUCCAUUUUGGGUCCUUUGAUGUCAACAUCUGGCACUUUCAUUUCACCUUCUACCUUGGGCACAGACACAUCCAUAUCCCCUUUGACUUUGGGGCCUUUCAGGUGUAAGUCCACAUCAGGCAUGGAGAUCUUGGGGGCCUUGAAGUGCAUCUCAGGCAUCUUAAACUUGGGCCCUUUCAACUUUGCAUCAGGACACUCCAGAU
rnacentral:lncRNA from 1 species